GCGGAGCAAGUGCAACAACAAGUUAAGCGGUCCGCUCCGUUUCGCCAGAUUCUGAUUCUCCGCCAAGUUGAGCCUACACGUCAGUGGAGAACCUGUACUGGUGACCGGACGUGUGCGGCGCGCGUCAGGCGGUUCCCGGAUGCGCCGAACAGAAACAUGGAACGGGUAGUGGUGGAAGUGCCGACCAACAACGGGUUUUCUCUCGCUGGCCACUCGACGACCCCCCGAAAGCGGCAGGUGCGCUUCUCAGCCCGCCAUGACAUCAUCCUGCUGCGGGAGGUGGUCGCCCGGAACCCCUUUGCCUCCAAAGAGCCGGGGCGGAUCUGGGCCCGCGUGGGGGAGAUCAUCACUGCAGCGCUCCAGGAUGAGAACUUUGAGGUGGAUGCCAGGAGGUGUAGGGAGAGGACCAUGCUGCUGCUGGACUACUACAAGAAACAAGACUUCCCCAGUCUGCGCAGAUUUGGAACAGAGAGGUUGUACGCUCAAAAGGAAGAUCUGCUCCACGAGGUUUUGGAGCUGGAGGCGGAGAAGGGGAUGCUGGCCAGCGGCGAGAACUCAAAGUACCAGGAUGAUGAACUGAGAAAGCGAGCCAUGGAGGAACUAACGGUCCCAGAACAAGACAAACCCAACAUCACCAUCACGCACACACACACUGCAGCAGAACCAGAAGACGCUGGUGAGGAAAUGGCAGAGGCGCCCACAGCCAAGAGGCCCUGCCAGUGCUGCUGCCAGACCUACUCUGAGAUUCUCAGCUUCCUGGAGAAACGCUCGGAGGCGGAGCAACGGCUACGAGAGGAGGAGCUUUCUCUGCGCAGGGAGGAGCUGGAGAUUCAAAGGAGUAAGAUCUCUCUAGAGAGGGAACGUCUGGCAGCCGAGAGGAAAGAAAGGGAACGGAGAUUUGAGCUGGAGAGCCAAGAGAGGCAGGUGAUCUUGGACCUUUUAAAAGAAAAGGUGCUGAAAGGCUGACAAAACCGCAUCACCUGCAUCUAAUGCCAGCUUCUACAAGAAGUUAACGCAUUAAAUACCAUGGAAAGAAACAUAGUUGAACUUAAACGGGGAAGGAAACCAAGGAAACAGUAAGUGAAAAGUCGAAUUGCUAUUGAAAUCAAUGGAGGGCAGGUAAGCUGUGGCUGUCCACAUUUAUGCAGGAAUAUUAUGCAGGAAUAUACUUGUGUGUGUCUGGUGCAGACACAGUUUGAAAGCUGCAAAAUGUGCAUAAACCAGCUGCACGUAGCUGAGCCAUUCCAAUGGACACUCUUGACUGUUAUUCCUUACGGCCCUGAUGCAUACACUGAUGUGCUGUGUGUUCGGUGUAGCGGUCCACCGAGCCAUUUACUGGCACCUUGUUUUCAGUCCUGUUGGCACCGUAUUCUGUUCUGGAGCCAGUAUGAAAUUAAUAGCUGAGAAAAAAGCUGUAUACGCUGUAUAAGUUCACGUCAACGUUAUUGUGCAACUCAAGCUCAAAAUGUACCAGGACGAUACAAUUGUUUAUUCAGCAACUUCUUUUUUAAUUUGUAGGUAUUUUGGUUAAAGUAGGAGUAUAACAAUAUUUAACUGUGAAUUCACUGUGUAUUGUCUGGUAGUAAUUUAUUUUACAAACAAUACAAGCCAGUGGUUGUCCACUUCUAUAUACAGAAAGGUGUUUUUUUAACCCCUGUCCUCAGCUUCAUUUGUCUUAAAGACAUAGUUAACAACCAUUGGUCUCAUAUAUGGAAUUCAUGGAAACAAUUAUUUUUAUUACAUGUUCCGCGGUUUCAUUCAAUGACAUUUGCUACCGGACUUCUGUAUAUUUUUUAUUAAGAAAUGCUAUUUUUCUUCAAGUCCACAUAAACCCGUGCUGUAUAAAAUUAAACUUUAAAAAAAUUAAAUACAAGAGUAUCAAAAAAUGUGUGUCCCAUUUCUAUCAAUAGAAUUCUACAUUCUUAAACGGAGACGAUAGUUCAAUGAUUCCGGGGGUGCUCCAAUAAAAAAUAUUUUGGUCCCUUGUUAAUGACAACUUUCCACCAAACAUCUUUUAAGUAGGGUGACUGUGGGUGAGUGGAGAACAUGGAGCCAUAUUAUUUACCACAAGUUGAUGUGAUUCUUUAAGGUCUGAGUGAAAUGUCUAAAACAUAUUUGGACCAAAUACCACAAGGAUUAUUAUUAGCGGCACCCUUUUCAGCGUGCCCAAAACAGCUCCGCUAAAAAUGACCCGUUUGGGAUCUUUAUGCUAAUGUGCUAGCUAACCUCUCGCCUGUUUCAUCACGAAAUGCAACAAAAUAAAUGAAUAAAUAUUGGUCUGCUGAUCCGAUUGAAAUGUAAUUAUUGUAUAAUCGGACCAUGAACAAGAAGAGGCUCCGAAACAAGUUCCAAAAUUUAGGAUUCAACAGGACGUUUCUGAAUGAUUUGUGCAAAUCCACAGCUUCUUCCCAACUCUAGCCGGAUGAUGGUCUUCAUAUAUGAAAUAAAUCCAGUGCAUUGCAUAGCACCAGUCCUUCGGAUUAGCGGGGGGAGCCAGAUCUCCUCAAGUCUACCAACCUCAGCCUUGAGAAGUGUAUCUCAGAGAUUAAAAGUCUCCUAAAGGACAAGAUGACUGAACUCCUCCAGGUCCAGGAUAGCUGGGAGACAACUUGGUGAGCAUCCUCCACACUGAGCAGGCCAAGAGCAGGUGGCUAGAGAAGGAGAAACAUUUCUGGAGGUGGAUCAGCAUCUACUGGAGAACAACUGCCUCAAGUUGAAGAGGAAAACCAGAGGCAUCUUUGUAGGAUGGGAGACAGAGACCUGGAAAUGGAGAAGAUGAGGAUGAAGAUGGCCAACGAGAAAAUUAAUUGAAUUGAAUAGCGUCACACACUCAUCCAACCAUUCCACAUUCUUCCGGACACCUUCACUCCCUCUCAUCUCCUUUUAUCCCACUCUGUGGUUUUUCUCCUGGUGUUCGGGUUUCCACACUAAACAAAUAAAUAUUCCCCAUGGGCCAAGUGGAAACACAGUGGCUCAAUGACCGGUAGUGAACACAAGGGUGGGUAGAUGGGCUUGGUUGUGGAAUAGCCGGAACGGAGACCAGAAACUGCGGCCCAAGACCAGAGGCUUCUGGGAGGGCUUCUGGGGGAUGAUGAGAGGGAGUGCCCGGCUGCGGAUCUCAUCAUUUCUUUUUGUAGAUGAUGUGGUUCAGAACGCAUAUUUGGUGACCUUCAACUCUAAAUGGA
ensembl:lncRNA